GACGAACCGUGCGAACGUUAUUCGGAAUCACUGGGCUUAAAGCGCGUGUAGGCGGGACGGCACGUCGGUCGCUGAAAGCCCCCGGCUCAACCGGGGAACGGGCGCCGAUACGACCGGCCUGGAGGGACGUAGGGGGACCUGGAACUUCCGGUGGAGCGGUGAAAUGCGUUGAGAUCGGAAGGAACGCCCGUGGCGAAAGCGAGGUCCUGGACGUUUUCUGACGCUGAGACGCGAAAAGCCAGGGGAGCGAACGGG
rnacentral:rRNA from 1 species